CUUGUUGUACUUGUUUUGUUUUAGGCGCAGGGGUGUAUUAUUCUUGAGCAGCUGGAGGAGUUAAUGGUCAGAUAAGUAGGUGGAUUCUCGGAUCAGUCCACCAAUUUACGGAUUUAAAGUCUUGGGUCAAGGGAAUAGCUGUUGAGAAAAGGUCAACCGGUUUUGGUGGAAUCAGAUAAUGACCCUUUCAGUUUUUGGUUAGACAAAGGCCAACCAGCUAAGGUGGAAUCAAAGGGUAUUGGCUAUUACGGAAGGAGUAUUCCAUAGAGAAAAUUCAUCCAGAGAGCACAUAACUUGGCAAAAUGGAAUUUGGACCAGCAUCACAUGAAAUUGUGAAGGCAUUACUCGACACACAAUCUAGAUCGAGUAACUCAAGUGAGCAACAAAGCUGGCAGGUUCGACUUUUGAUGUCCCUUGAAACUUGUUUGAAGAAUGGGCAGGUUAAAAUCUGGAUAGAUGAGAUCUCUCCCCGGCGGUGCUUGAGGGUACCUUUUAUAUGUCUGCUUCCUUAUCACAAUUUUGGUAAAUGUUUUAAUUACCAUUACAAUAGCGGGAUGGUAUCAAACCGGUAAUUAGGGGAGAUGAUUUAUUACCUACUGAAGCGUGAUUUUACAAAGAUAUUUUAUUUAUGGUAGGGAAUAUUUUGCGGGUCUGAUGGAAAUCAAAUUAAUUCAAUUGCAGGCGUGUCUUCGGUUUCCUUAUUUGCUUCUUUUACCUAAAUGGAUAUGUGCUCCUUCCCUGAUCCGUGCUUAUUAAUUGUUCGAUCAGGCCUUGUUUCUCCGGGUUUAAAUGCGCUGGAAAUUAGGGACUAAUCCCACCAGAAAUAUUUCACAUGCCUUUUUUUCUGAAUAGUGCGAGAGAAAAAGAAAAGACAUGAUUCUGCGGGAUCUCCGGAUACCAUUUUUAUGUGUGCACAAUUAUCUUAAAUUAAGUAAUUACAUAAUCACCAUUACCAUAGCGUGAUUUAUGGGUCGAGUUGAUUUUAGCAUCCGGAGAUCCUAUUUGGGUCGAGUUGACUUACUCAUUGAUCCCCGUAACUUUUGGGUUUGUUAAAUGAGAGCAUCUGGAGAUACUAUUUGGGUCGAGUUGAAUUACUCAGUGAUUUGAUCCACGUAAUUUUUGGGUUUAUUAAAUGACAGCAUCGGGAGACACUAUUUGGGUCGAGUUGACUUAGGCAUUGAUUUGAUCCACGUGAAUUUUGGGUUUAUUAAAUGAGAUGCUUUAUUACAAAUAUUUUAUUUUAUUUAAAUUUGUCUAUUAUUGUAUGCCAGUUUUUGCUUAGUAUAAAAUGUUGUAGGUUUGCCUUGGAAGCUCUACCAGUUUUGCUCACAUGUGUUUGCUAGAAGGUUCAAGUUUUAUUGAUGCAUGUUUUCCUUUUAGAAUGUGUCGCAGGGAUAAAAAAGAUUGUAAGCCAAAUCCCCUACUUGACCGUGUUAUAGAUGUCCUUUUUUAUUCUUCACGCUGAACACAAAAUGAACUGCUCUACAGCUUCAUGUCUUCAAGAUAAAUCAUGUCUUCCAUUAUCCGCGCAAGUAGUAGGAGUAAAAUGGUGCCUAAUUAGAAAUAUUU